ACAUUACACUGGUGGGAGACCACGAACGAAAGGUGUGUUGCUUCAAGUUCUGCUGAACCCAAGAGAGGAAGUGAGAAGUUAGCUAGCUGAAGAUACUGUACACUGGGACUAACAAGAGCUCUCUUCGAGAACACAAGCAAUAUCUAAGUGCUGUUGGACCAGAUCUCCAGAAGAUGUCAGCAAAUAUCUACAAGCUGAAAACAGCAAUCAGCAUAAUAACCUGUCGUCGGAUCGUCACAAGGCAUCAGCGGCUAACCUGUAGUUGUGGGUCCAACGUAGCAUCCAGUCCCCCGUGGCACUGCCAGCCAGUCAGCUCAGCACCGCGUUCAGCAAAGGGCUUCAGAGCUCAUCAAACUCAAAACCACUCACAGAAACAAUGCUCCGGAUCAAUCUAACCCAAACUCUCAGGAGGGCAACAAGCUGUGGGCUCAAGCGGCUUUUCCAUUUGGGCGUCAGUGAGCUUCUCUUAAAGUUCAUCUGAGGGUAGGUUCAUGCCCAAGGCUACCCCCCCCCCCCCAAAAAAAAAUUAAACACCACACAGAGCUUUUUAUUUUGACUUAACUACAUUGCCAAGUUAAACUGACAGAAUCGUUUGUGUAUGUGUGUGUGUGUGUGUACGUGUACGUAGGCACCCUUUUAGUUUGCAACUCUGAUGCUUUCUGCUGCUCUGAGGGAUGUACUGUGUGUCUCGCUGCUUUGAACUUCCACACACAGGGCCAGCGGUUGCCAAGCAAUUACAGACAGCCUGCUCUUCGUGAGUGCCUUUUGGGAAA